CUCCUCCAUAAAAACAAGUGUGUGCAUCUGGCUGUUAGAAGAAUUCGUGCUCAUCCGGGAGAAAUGAGGAAGCCGUGAGUACCAGUGGAAGGACCAAGCCAGGAAGAGGGACUGGAACCAUCUCAGAAGCCGUUCCCCUCAGCCUGGAACUUGCCCUGUCUCCUCGCAGAUGAGGUGCAAGUCUUCCGAACAAAUGCCUCCUGAGGAUUUGUGUGCCUGGAAAAUAUCUGUGAACAGAUUGCUUUUACACCUACGACCAAAGCUGGCUUUCAUGGUUUACUCAUGUACUUACUGAUGAAACCCUGAAACCUGGAGCCAGUGACUGUUCAGAGGUCCCUGUGAAGAUGCGCUGAAGGGUGUAAAGGACGGAGCAGUAAAGAGUGCUGGCUGAAUCCCUGGGCUGGGAAUCAGGCAUGUUGGAGUUUGAGUCCUGGUCUGCCACUCCAGCUCUGUGACCAAGAGGAAGUCAUGUACCCUUUCUAAGUCUCUAGCCCAUCUUCUGAAAGACGCUACCACCAACCAUGUUAGUGGUUGUGAAUGCCAACAAAGUCCAUGGGAAGCACACAGCAGUGGCUGCCGUGGACUAAGUGUUCCCAAGAUGGAAGCUAUGACAAUUUCACAGAGUACUCUUCCCAUCAUUUUCCAGUUC
rnacentral:lncRNA from 1 species